UCCAAUCUGGCAACAGAGCAACAGAAUGGCACCUCAAGUUCUUGUCUCAAACUUCCUUUUAGAAUUGUCAUUGUCACUUCUCACUGAACACUGUUAACAUUGAACUCACUGUCUUCACUAUAAACUCGUCUGUAUGAAUGGCACUAAUUCCUCAAGCACUGGAUUUCAAAAUCUUGACCGCCUUACUUCUUCCUCAUGUCUAAUCAAUAACAUCUGACACUCUCUGAUUCAUUUUUAUGCAGUAGUUCCUGCAGCAAUCCUUACCGAGAGCUGUUCUAGGCACAACCUACACACCAAUGAACAAACCAAGAUGCAUAUCUGAUCACCUGGCUCUUACGAUUCUAGCAAAAGGAGACAUAUAAUACAUGAAUAAACAAACCAGGAUUCUAUGUGGGAAGAUGGCCUCGACUGCUCACUACCCUGCCCACAAGGUCUCCUAGAUGGCAGUGCCCUGGCCUGAGAAGCUCUGUGACCGCCUCCACAACCUCAGUUCCUG